rnacentral:lncRNA from 1 species
UAAGAGAUAUUUUAUUCUGGAGCUAAAUACAAGUGACUGUAGCCCAGGGACACAGAUUUGGAUUAGUGUAAACACCAAGUAGCACUCUGGUAACAGUUUCAGGGGCUUUUAUAGUAACAGAACAAAGAAAGCCAUAAAUUAAGGUACCGUUCAAGUACAUUGGUGAGAACAUCAGGUCACUGGGUCGAAUCUGAGUGGGGAAGUCUCCACACUACAGUCCUCAGAUGUUAUCUGCAACUCUCCUGGCCUUUGGGAUGGUGGAGGCUAGAGAUCUAUUUGUGCAUCCCAAAAAGGAUUUUACAAGAAUGUUAGGUCAGGCAGAGGUGAGCAAUAAAUAACUAUUAAGGGGCUAAAGAUAGUGCCAGAUAAUUUGGCUCCAGACCUGUGCCAUCCCAGGUCUUCCCAAUCACGAAUGUUCUGAUCAGUCCUUAGGCCAUGUGGGAUCGUUAACAAAGGCACGGGCUCUUUUCUUUUCUGGAAAAUUCAGCUCAUAGUACAAAGCAGAGUCCUUCCCUCCACGACCUCACUUCACAGUGAGUCUGGAUGCCAAAAGUCAUGAGUAACAAGACUGUCCCCAAAGAGAGAUAAUCAGAUCCAGUGAGCCCUUACUGAGAGUCAGGCCCGCACCCUGAGGCAGAGGUCAUAGAUGUGGAAAUGGACGCAGGGCACAAGAUGGGCCUAAUUUGCACAGCCAGGCAAAUCCCUCUGCUGGCUUUCGUUCCAUGCUCUCCGUGUUCUUUCCACUUCUUGGAGCAAAGGGGGAAGAUGCAACACACAACUCUUGGGCCCUGGGUACGAGUCAGGUAAGAAACCCUCGAGCUGGACUUUCAAUGGUACAUACAUAAUAUUUCAACAGAUACAGGCCAUGGGCCCAGGGUCGAGGGAUGGGAGUGUACUCCAGAAUUUAUCAUCCAUCUAUCUUUUACUGGAACAAAAUAUCUGAGACAAUGAGCCUCAGAAAAGGGAAGUUUAUUUGGGCUGAUAACUUUGAAGGUAUAUCUAUCUCUUGACCCCAUGGCUUUUGGGGCCCUGCGGCAAGGCACUGUGGUGGAGGAAGCUGUCACCUCAUAGCAGCCAGGGAAUGAAGUAGAGAAAAGACACUAGUUUCCCACAAUCCUCUUUGAAGGCAACCCCUACCCCAGUGACUUAAAACUUCCCACUAGGCCCUGCCUCUUAAAAGCUCUGUCACCUCCCAACCGUGCCUCACUGAGGAUCAAGCUUUAAACACAUAGACCUUUGGGGACAUUCCAGGCCCACAGGACAGGUGACAGAGGCAGCUGCUUCUUCUGGAAGCAGCAAAAAAAGCACAGAACCCUGGGCAUCUUUCACCAUAGAGGCAUAAUUUGGAAGCAUAAAGGGGAGACGUACCUGCAAGGGCAGAGUGGGGCUUGACCCAGAAACAAGGUCGCAGCUUCUCCUAGCUUUCCAAACCAAUGGAGUCAAUGUAUGGACUUGGUGUAGCAGUGAAUUCCUCAACCUUUCGUUCAGUCCCUCAGACUCCAGUUGCUGUCCCUGCUCUAACAGAAGCCAGCUCCCAGGUGCCUUGAUGCCUGUACAGCUCUUCUGUGGGUCCUGGAUCUGCACACCAGGUUCUAUGAGCUCCUCAGACUCCACCAGCCUGCUCCUAAGCCCACCUCUUUCCCUGUGUCUUCAGGCUCAUUGAAGACCUAUUUUGUGUUAGAGUAAGUCCACCGAGUGAGCGAGCCCUUAGUGAUCAUUUAGUCAAGGGGAGGAGUGGCCGUAAGUAAGUAGAUGUGGGUCACAACUAGGAUGCUUACUGUGAAAGAGGGACAGAGGAAGAGAAAUCAGCCCAGGAAAUGUGGGAAGGUCUUUCUGAUAUAAACCCAGACCACAGUGCAGAGGAACCAGUCAGGUGAAAUGGGAAGGAAAGCUCUUUCCUGUAGACAGAACUGACAGUGCCAAGGCCCCAAGGUAGAGGGAGCUUGGGCACACUGGGAAUGGAGGCCCUAUGUGGUUGGAACCUUUCAGGCCCUAGGACCGGUCAGGCAGGACCUCGUGGGCUAUGGCAAAGAUGAGGGGUGAGUUCAAGAGCAGCUGAGUCUAGUGUGUUCAGGGCUUUCUCUCUUCAGUAUGGAGAGUAGCUGGGGUCAGGGGAGAGGCAGAGAGAGGAGCCAGGGAAAUCAGAGCUUGUCCAGGUCCUUCCAGGAACAGGUGAACAGAGCAGCAAGCAAAAAGGUGGAUGUUAGACAGCGAAGGGGAGACCCCAGAGAAAUGGAAGACCCCCUCCAGCCAGCCCCAAGAAAAUCAGUUUCUGCUGUGUAAGAACUUUAGUCUGAGACAGCCCGUGUGAACCAAGGCACCUCCCAACUACCUUGUUGUAUCUAGCACUCUGCUAGCUAUAUCCUGACAUCGGUUCUGUAUUCAUUUGCAGCUCAUCACUUCUGUCACAUGCACUAAACUUGAACUUCAGAAAGACAAUCACCCCACCUGUACCGGGGGCACCCCCAGACCCCGCAUUAGCACUUCGCCUGCAGUAAGUCCUCCAUAAAUGAAGAAGUCUGAGACAAACACUUGCGGCACCAAGUUCUGCUCCAUCCGCCCCCCCUCCAGCGUGAUCCUGGAUCCCCUUCCCCUUCUCUAAGCUCAGUGUAUGUCAUCUGUAAGCGGUCCUGACCUCCAUGCCAACUCCUGAGGGCUUAUGAAUCAACAGGAGGCAAACACAGCCAAACUGCCCAGCUCCAAAAUCAACAAAAAGCGUGGUGCUGCUGUUCUCGAGACUGGUGAGUCCAUUCACGCCGGCUGUUCCCUCCUUCAACACACGCUGGCCCCUCUGCUGAUGCCGGCUGCUGGCAACACCAAAAAGUCGCUGUCCCUUCUCACCUAUAACCCCACCUGCUCA